rnacentral:lncRNA from 1 species
AAAGUUUCAGAUAUGAUAGAUUACAAGAGAACUUAGUCUGCAGACGAACUUUAAGAAUCACAAAUGAACUUAGUAAGCUUGGGCCUUUUUAGCGAAAAACUCCCUUGCUGUACUGUUUAUGAUGGCAUGACAAUUUACACUUUUGAAGCAUGUAUUUUUAUACUUAGGCAUACGUGCCCACUGAGUACUUUUGUACUCAGCCCUGCAUAUAUUUCUAAAUGUGCAGGUUGAGUAGCUGCCGAUGGUGAUGAAGUGACGAGCGGGACUCUUUUGUCUUAUUAUGUAUUAAUGAACUCUAGGGAUACAUGUCUUCAUACAUGUAAUCAGAACCUUAUUCCGCUGCGUACUCAGAAGUUUUAUGUUAUUUUGGCUAAGUCGGAGUUAUCCGAACUUACUAGUUAUUUGAGUCUAUACGACUAAACCUUCGUUAUAUUAUAAAUAUCCCUUUUAUAAAAAAAUGAUGAAAUGCGAUCCUUCCUUGUUUGAUUAUCCCCCUUUCUACCCCGCUCCUAAUCUCCCUCCAUU